rnacentral:rRNA from 1 species
CCUACGGGAGGCAGCAGUGGGGAAUUUUCCGCAAUGGGCGAAAGCCUGACGGAGCAACGCCGCGUGAGGGAUGAAGGCCUCUGGGCUGUAAACCUCUUUUCUCAAGGAAGAAGAUCUGACGGUACUUGAGGAAUAAGCCACGGCUAAUUCCGUGCCAGCAGCCGCGGUAAUACGGGAGUGGCAAGCGUUAUCCGGAAUUAUUGGGCGUAAAGCGUCCGCAGGCGGCCCUUCAAGUCUGCUGUUAAAACGUGGAGCUUAACUCCAUCAUGGCAGUGGAAACUGUUGGGCUUGAGUGUGGUAGGGGCAGAGGGAAUUCCCGGUGUAGCGGUGAAAUGCGUAGAUAUCGGGAAGAACACCAGUGGCGAAGGCGCUCUGCUGGGCCAUAACUGACGCUCAUGGACGAAAGCCAGGGGAGCGAAAGGGAUUAGAUACCCCUGUAGUCCUGGCCGUAAACGAUGAACACUAGGUGUCGGGGGAAUCGACCCCCUCGGUGUCGUAGCCAACGCGUUAAGUGUUCCGCCUGGGGAGUACGCACGCAAGUGUGAAACUCAAAGGAAUUGACGG